CCCCCAACCAAUAUUCAUUUUUCGUCUUCGACAUUUCGUCAAAAUAUAGCAAAACUUCUUCUCAUCCCUCCUGUCUCACUCUCGUCUUCUCUUCAUUCUCUUCUCUCCCAGAAAUCUCAACUAUAUCCUUCAACAUCGCGCUUUGGGAAUUUCUCUCUCCCCAGAGUCCAGUCCUCAUUGUCCCUAAUUUCACUUCUCUCUCUGCAAAUCAACCCUAAAUCUUCCAUCUCUAAACCCUCAAUGGAUCCGACACCUUCUUCUACCAAAUCCAAUCACAGCCACCAAAACCUAACCAAAACCCCAUAACCCAGCCAUCAACUCCAGUUCUUAAAAGCCUACCCGUCACCAAACCCCAAGUCAACCCUAAAAGAAUCUCCGUCGGAGCACCCGGACGAAUUCUUCGCUCGAAUCCAAGACUAGAAGCUAAAGAAGAAGGCCUCCACGUUCCUCUUGGCCCCAAUUGAUGCCUCUAGAGAGAGCCUCCUCACGGCUCAUCGAUUACUCAUGUUGUUAUCAGGUAUUGCGCUGUGGAAGACCGGAGUUCAUUCGUUGCUUUUCAAGCCAAUACCAGUGUUGUUAUCAGCUUGGUCUGAGAUGCAGAACAUGACGUUGCCAGGUUAAAGGCUGCAUGUAGAUAAUCAUAGUGUGCAUGUCUUGACACGGUCUAGAUCAAAGGCUGAGUUAAUUGUUCCGGGUAAGAAGGUAUUGCCUACUUAUAGUUAAUUAAAUCCAAUUUUGCAAACUCUUGGAGUAACUACUCAUUAGAGAUAGGUUAAUAGUUUGGAAGGAUGCGAAAUUGGUCUUACCCCUCCCAAGAAACCACAAAAAGCAAUGGAAGAAUACCUUUUCUUUUUCC